CUCCAAGUCUCCAAGUCUCCUUCGCACUUGCUCCUGGCUGAUGGAUGAAAUGGAAUGUACUGGAAUAGGUGAUGUGUCUACAGUGCUGAUUGGCUCAAAGUAGCAGAAGAAAUCUAGGGAGCUGAGGAUCUCGGCUGCAGAUAACGUGAGAUGGUAUCUUUAAAGAAGUCUGACCUAGGUCCCCUGCAUCUAAGAAGCUGGCAUCGAAGUUGUUAGAAGAGUUAUUGGAAUGGGACUAACAGGAGAUGGUUGCCAGAGAAGGAUCCUGAAACUGUUAUCACAGCUAUACAAGGUCAAAUGAAGGGCAUAACCUUGGCAUGAAGAGGAAUUGGUAGAGGAGGGCUGAGCUACGGUCGAUGACCUUGGAGACAGAAUGCUGGUGAUAGAAUAGUGAAGCACAGCGCAGUGUUUAACUUGUCCGGACAUAGAAAACAGGGUUUCGUCAGCUAGUUAAGGCUAAACAAAGAACGUCCGAAAUAAAACAAAAGGUCGUGGUAUGUUUUAAGACUCUUUAAAAACCUUCAAUUACCCAGAAUAAACCACCUGGUCUCAGGCUGACAAGAAGGUCGGGCAACUGCAGCUGCUAAAAGCCAAACUCAGUGUAUUGGCUAGGUGCUAAUAUGCCUUUAUUGGGGUCUAUAACUUCAAAAUUAAGUUUUCAGAACCUGGGCAGAUUGAAUGUCAUUGACUUCUCUCGUCUUUGAGGAUGAGAUAUUAGAAGCCUGUGAAUUCUGACAGCUGUUUAAAAGUGGAGUUCCUGGAUUUCACGACAUUUUGUUAACAAUGUGUAAAGAUCGGCCCUAAAGCCAAUCUGUGCCGGGCUGCUUUGGCUGGGACAUCCCAGGCAAAGGUUUUAAGCAUAUGCUCAUUAUAGAACCCACGGGUAGCAAGCGUAAAGAAGCAAUGCUGUUCUUGUCUACAACCUGUUGUGGUUAACGGAGUUCCUUCCUUGCUGGGACCCUAGGAAGAAUGGCUUUCUUUACUGGAGACACACUGUGGGCUUUGGUAAUAAGAGGAAAACUAAGAGAAGAGGCUUUGUUAAGACCUUAGUGAAAUUCUUCUCCCCUCUUUCUUUUUAUUUUAGAUGUACCCAUUCUAGACCCCCCAAAGACUACCGUCCACCAGCAGCCAUCCUUCCACGAUUUUCUGUGGCCAGUUUAGACUGAGUGCACAUUCUUUGGUGCUACUGAAAUUUGAAAUGGGAAGAUUGAAGAUUGAGGUCUGUGUUAAUUCCUUAAAAUGUGGAUGAAGCAGAAAUGAAAUCGGAUAAUAUCUUUUUAGCGGGAUGCUGGGAUGCUUUGUUUUUUGUU
rnacentral:lncRNA from 1 species